rnacentral:lncRNA from 1 species
CAGAAAUAAAAUGCCAAAGGUGACGUUUCAAAGUGUGCAUUUCUUUUCAUAAAUAUUCAGGGUUAUAGUUUUUGGUUUUUUUAACAGGUUGGAGAAAAAUACUGUCAAGCACACUGAAGCAAAAAAGGAUCCAAAAGAAAAACAUCUGGCAAAACCAAGCAUUUUGAACAUGUCAACUUAUGGUUGACUGUCCUACUCUCCUACUCUCAAAAUGCAAAUGUUACGUGAAACGAAGAGAGAGACUGUGGAGUAUCAAAAAGAAGCAAAUAAAAAGCAUGUGGCUACUUCCCAACUCUGCAAAGGAUGUUCGAGCUCAGGUAGGAGUGAGCAAAGAGCCUAACAUUUCCACAUAUUCAGCUCUCUAAGUGACACUUCAUCUUACUACAGAUGAAUGUUACCUUCAGAAGACUUCACUAGAGUAACCUCUAGAAGUGAACAAGCCUGUGCAGCUUUUGUGUCCCCCUUGGAAAAACUGCAUGGACUAGACAGCUGCAGACACAAUACACAGCAUGUGAGUAACCACGAAUUACUUAUGAAAGUAUAAUUUAGCAAUGUUGUUCUGAAUAAUUUGUGUCUGCUGCACUUACAGGCAUUUUUCUGCACUUAUUUCUUCUAAGAGUCUUUUGGGACAGGUAAAAACCCAGACAGAUUGAACUGAUGGAAUGGGAUUUGCGUCUAAACUGAAUGCUCCAUGUACAGUAUGUGUCUUUAAACAGCAGCAGGUGACCAGUAUUUUGAGCUGGAUACCAUUUAUUUUUUUAAUAUUGCAUAAGUUAAAUUGGAAUGAAUGAACUGUGGCAAGUAUUCUGUGGUUACUAUUUUUGAAUGAUAAUGGUUCAAACAUAGAUUCUGAAUUCGAUACUAUAUAUAAAGAAAAAAUCUUUUCCCCUAUACGUUAUUUAUUGACCUGUCUGUUCAUUGAAAUUUUUAUAUUGUUUAUAUAAUGGUGAUUGUUCACUUUUCCUUUGUUCCAGGAACUCAAAAUAAAGAUCUAAUAUUUUCUGUAUUUCUCUUGAUU